rnacentral:tRNA from 1 species
UGGGGUGUGGCUCAGUGGUAGAGCAUUCGCCUAACAUGUGCGGGGCACUGGGAUCCAUCCUCAGCACCACAU